UACGUAGGGUGCGAGCGUUGUCCGGAAUUACUGGGCGUAAAGAGCUCGUAGGUGGUUUGUCGCGUUGUCCGUGAAAACUCACAGCUUAACUGUGGGCGUGCGGGCGAUACGGGCAGACUGGAGUACUGCAGGGGAGACUGGAAUUCCUGGUGUAGCGGUGGAAUGCGCAGAUAUCAGGAGGAACACAGGUGGCGAAGGCGGGUCUCUGGGCAGUAACUGACGCUGAGGAGCGAAAGCGUGGGGAGCGAACAGG
rnacentral:rRNA from 1 species